rnacentral:rRNA from 1 species
CGGGUGAGUAAUGCAUAGGAAUCUACCUAGUAGUAUGGGAUAGCCACUGGAAAUGGUGGGUAAUACCGUAUAAUCCCCGCGGGGGAAAGAUUUAUCGCUAUUAGAUGAGCCUAUGUCGGAUUAGCUAGUUGGUGGGGUAAUGGCCUACCAAGGCAGUGAUCUGUAGCUGGUCUGAGAGGAUGAUCAGCCACACUGGAACUGAGACACGGUCCAGACUCCUACGGGAGGCAGCAGUGGGGAAUAUUGGACAAUGGGCGCAAGCCUGAUCCAGCUAUGCCGCGUGAGUGAGGAAGGCCUUAGGGUUGUAAAACUCUUUCAGUAGGGAAGAUAAUGACGGUACCUA